UGCUUUUGCCCAGUCAAACUAUAUGCGCCGGUCCAAGCACGUACACCCAGAUGGUCGGUGCUAAUUUCCAACCCCAAAUGGGUCGGUGCUAGUUUCCAACCCCAAAUACCAAAACAAAGAUUGAGAAAUUACCUGGUUAGUAGAGAAUAAUGAAAGGGUUUAGAAGAGCAUCCAUCCAACAAGAAGAGCAACUUGCACAAUUAGGCUCUUCAUUGCAAUUAGAAAAUGGAGCAUUAGUUUCAGUUGUUGAACUUCUGUUUCUUACACGAUGGCUUCUUCAUCUUCAUCUUCAUCUGGUGCUCGUUGCAAGUAUGAUGUGUUCCUCAGUUUUAGAGGGGCAGACACCCGCAAGAUCUUCGUCGGCCAUCUUUACAGAGCUCUGAAACAGAAAACAAUCAACACCUUCAUCGAUUCUGAAGAGCUCAGUAAAGGAAACAAGAUUUCGGAGCUACUCACAGCUAUUGAGGACUCGAGGAUUUCGAUUGUAGUUUUUUCUCAAAAGUAUGCAUCUUCCACUUGGUGCUUAAAAGAGCUCGUCAAAAUCCUGGAUUGCAUGGAUACGAAGAAGCAGAUAGUGGUGCCUAUCUUCUACGAAGUAGAUCCCUCUGAUCUACGGAAAAUCAAUGGAAAAUUUGCAGAAGCUUUUGCCAAACACGGAGAGAAUUCUAACCUCGACAACGAAGAGUUGGAAAGCUGGAGGUCCGCUGUAAAUAGAGUCGCGGAUCUAUCUGGCUGGGAUUCGACCAAAUAUGAGGAUGAUGGCAAGCUUGUUGAGGAAAUUGUUGAAAAUACUUUAAAAAAACUGAUCCACACUUCGUCCAAUAAAGCUGAUGGCUUGGUUGGAAUGGAUUCCCACAUUACAGAAAUGAAUUCAAGAUUAUGUAUUCAGGUUAAUGAUGUUCGUGUUGUUGGAAUAUGGGGUAUGGGCGGUUUAGGAAAAACAACCAUUGCUAGAGCUGUUUUUGACGAAAUUGCUUGCCAAUUUGAACACUCCUGCUUUCUUGAUAAUGUCAAAGAAGCUUUUAUAAACAAGCGUGAAGUACAAAUGCAGGAAGCACUUAUAUCUAUAUUGCUGAAGGAAAAGGUGCAGAGUCUGGGUUUGAACAGAGGUUGGAAUAUGAUAAAGGAAAGGCUAGGUUUGAAAAAAGUCUUGGUUGUUCUUGAUGAUGUGGAAACUUUUGCCCAAAUAGAAGCCUUGCUUGGAAAACUACAUGCAUUUGGUGAGGGAAGUAGGCUCAUUGUAACAACUAGAAAUAAGCAAUCGCUAAGUGGAGUUAAUGAGACGUUCAAGCCAUCGUAUUUAAGGGAUGAUGAAGCUCUCGAGCUGUUUCGGAAAUAUGCUUUCAGAACAAAUCAACCCAACAGAGAUUACGAUCAUCUAUCAAGGCGUGCCAUAGAAUAUGCUCAAGGUUUGCCUUUAGCACUUAAAGUCUUGGGGGCAUUUCUUGAUAACAAAAGUGUAUGUGAAUGGGAAGUCGUGUUGGAGAAAUUGAAGAAAAUCCCACACAUAGAAAUUCAGGAUGUGCUUAGAACAAGCUUUGAUGGACUGGACGAUUCAGAGAAAAACAUAUUCCUAGAUAUUGCAUGUCUCUUUAGAAAAUGGCGCACAAAUUUUGUAACGGAAUUACUGGACAGUUUUGGCUUCUUUCCCCACAAUGGAUUAAGAGUUCUAGUUGACAGAGCUCUCAUAACUUCGUCAAAUUACAGAGUCGACAUGCAUGAUUUAUUACAAGAAAUGGGUAGAGAAAUCGUCCGCCUAGAAUCUACUAAAAAACCUGGGAAGCGUAGCAGGUUGUGGAGUUACAAAGAUGUUAAUCACGUGUUGACUCAAAAUACGGCUACGGAUGCAAUUGAAUGCUUAAUGCUAGACUUGUCGAACUCAAAAGUUGACCUAAGCAUAAAUGCUGAGGCCUUUGUAAGGAUGACGAAGCUAAGACUGCUAAUAAUCUGUUAUUCAUUCCCCGUAUACCUAUUUCCAUAUAGCGAGUGCCGCAAGAAUAUAUGCCCAGUAGGUGGUUGUAAACAACUCUUGAGGGGGGACUUCGAGUUUCUUUCCCAUGAAUUGAGGUUUCUCUUAUGGCAUGGAUGCCCGGUAAAGUGUUUGCCAUCAUCUUUUAUCCCGAAGAAUCUUGUUCACCUUGACAUGCGUGGUAGUCACAUUCGAGAACUUUGGGAAGGAAUCAAGCCCCUACAAAAUCUGAGAGUCAUCAAGUUAAGUCACUGUCGAUACCUUGUCAAAAUCCCCGACUUAACUGAGGCGAUAAAUCUUGAGACACUACUUCUUGAUGGCUGUUCAAGUUUAUUUGAGGUUCAUUCAUCCAUUUCUGCUCUUCAAAACCUUCAUUUAUUGGAUCUAACCGGGUGCAAAAUACUCAAGAUUCUCCCAAAGAGAAUUCAUAUGAAAUCUCUACAGACCCUCUGUCUUUCGGGCUGCUCAAAUCUUGAAAAGUUUCCGGAGAUUUCAGGAAUCAUGAAGGAGCUAUCAAUGCUUCGUUUAGAUGGGACCGCAAUUAAAGGACUGCCCUCAUCAAUUGAUCUGCUUCUGAGGAUUAAAAAAUUGAGUGUGCGGAACUGCAAAAGCCUUGAAUUUCUUCCCGACAGUAUCUGUAAUUUGGCAAACCUUACACAUAUGAAUCUGUCUGGGUGCUCAGUACUUCAUUACUUGCCUGAGAAAUUGGGGGACUUGGAAUCCUUGGAGGUCCUCGAUGUAGGAUAUAGUGGUAUAAAACAACUUCCAUUCUCUGUCCUACGUUUGGGAAAGCUUAAAGGUGGAUUAUCAUGUAUUGGAUGUAAAAAGAUGACGGCACCCUUGUCAGCCUGGCCAUCAUCAAUCGAAGAAUAUUGUAGUUACUCUGUUCUGCUACGUCUUGAUUUAAGUGACUGCAAUCUGUUGGAGUUAUCGGAUGGUAUUGCUCAUUUAUAUUCAUUGAAAACAUUAAGGCUGUGCAGAAACAAAUUGGAGAGCUUACCUGUGACAGUGAAUCGACUUCGUUGUCUAACGCAUCUUGAAUUGGAAGCUUGUAAGCGACUGAAGUCGGUACCUGAGCUUUCAUCGAGUGUAAUACGCAUAGAUGCACAUGAUUGCACAGCUCUGGAAACAGUUUCAAGACGAAAGACUGAUCCAGUAUGUAGAAUUCUAGACUUCAGGUUUUCUAAUUGCUUCCGGCUUCAAGCAAAUUUGUUUAUAGAUAUUGUUGAGACUGAGACUUAUUCUCUCGACCAGGACAGUCAUCUGCGACCUCUGUGGUUCCACAUGUGGCUUCCUGGAAGUGAAGUUCCAGAAUGGUUCAACCUUCGGGAUACAGGAUGUUCAGAAACUUUUCGGAAGACAGGAUGUUCAGCAACUUUCCAAGCACCACUGAAUAGUUUCAAUAACAAGCUUUUAGGAUUUGCUAUAUGCAUUGUUAUUAAAUUCAAUGGUGCUUGUCAUGAUGUAUCUGAUAUGUAUGGAAGAUGUUAUUGGACCUCAAAAGGAAAACAUGGUGAGUACUCCUUCGAAUUUGAUUUGCUCGGCCGGCAGUUCGGAAUUUACAGUAUAGAGUCAGAUCACCUGUUCAUGGCAUAUUUGCCAUGGUCUGGAUAUGGCAGGAUUUCACAAGAUAGAUUAGAUGCAUUCAAGAUUGUAGUAGAAACUGGAACUUAUUCGCCGACAGAAGAUUGGUUUACUAGUGGCUGCGGUGUUCGUUUAGUUUAUGCUCACGAUGAGAUGCAAAAUAGCGUGACACAGCCCCUAAUUCAUGUAGAUGGCCAGACAAUGGAGGAUGCGGUGCAGCAGGGGGAGGGGUGCUGUGCUAUAGGAGGGGUGUCGGGGAUUGGCGCACCUUUCUUUACGGACCCGUUGGAAAUAAGAAAGAGUGAAACAGAGUUGGAGGCAGAGUCAUCGGAGUCGCGUGAGGAGAGAGGCACGUGCCAAAUAUUGGAGCUGUUACCAGAGCCGCAGACCGAGAGAAAAGAAGAGGAGGAGGGAGAGGGGUGCCAGGCGUUAGGGUCGGCAUUCUCUCUGAGAAAGAAAGAAACAGAAAGAGAAGGAGACAGAGUCACCAGAAUCUCGGACGAGGGGGAGAUAUCGGAGUUGGGCAGCCACAGUGAUCUGGUGGUGCCAAAUUCACAGAGUGAGGGCAAAGAAGAGAAAGAAUUGAUGGGGGAGGAGUCGUUGGAGAGGGUUGUUAGGGCCGCUGUGCAGCUGCUUUUACUGGCUGGGUGAAGUAUGGCGUGGAAAUAUAGAGAAGUGGCAGAAGCAGAGGACUUUGGCUUGCAUGAAAGGAAAAAAGAUUAGUUGAAGAGUUGACAGUAAUGAUCCAAGAGUUCUCUUCUGAGGAUUGUUCGGGCAAAAAUUUCAGCACUUGAUGUUACUAUCAUGAGGAUUGUUGAAAAUAUCACCAUGAUUUGCCCUCAGUAGUGUAAAUCUGAGCGUUUGAACUAAGUAAAAGUGAGAACAUAUGAAGUUAGCAACAAAUUUGUGGCGGAAAACGUAUGCUUCUCUAUUCUAAAGUUCUGUAGUCAAUGGCUUGGACAGAAAAAACUCACUGGCCCUUUUAUUCACACACAGCUCAAUAACCCUCAUCUUCUC